CCUACGGGAGGCAGCAGUGAGGAAUAUUGGUCAAUGGACGAGAGUCUGAACCAGCCAAGUAGCGUGAAGGAUGACUGCCCUAUGGGUUGUAAACUUCUUUUAUAUGGGAAUAAAAUGUUCCACGUGUGGGAUUUUGUAUGUACCAUAUGAAUAAGGAUCGGCUAACUCCGUGCCAGCAGCCGCGGUAAUACGGAGGAUCCGAGCGUUAUCCGGAUUUAUUGGGUUUAAAGGGAGCGUAGGUGGAUUGUUAGGUCAGUUGUGAAAGUUUGCGGCUCAACCGUAAAAUUGCAGUUGAAACUGGCAGUCUUGAGGACAGUAGAGGUGGGCGGAAUUCGUGGUGUAGCGGUGAAAUGCUUAGAUAUCACGAAGAACUCCGAUUGCGAAGGCAGUUCACUGGACUGCAACUGACACUGAGGCUCGAAAGUGUGGGUAUCAAACAGGAUUAGAUACCCGAGUAGUC
rnacentral:rRNA from 1 species